rfam:Felis catus isolate Cinnamon breed Abyssinian chromosome B3, whole genome shotgun sequence.
GCCUGGGUGGCUCAGUCAGUGAAGCGUCCGACUUUGGCUCAGGUCAUGAUCUCACAGUUUGUGGGUUCGAGCCCCACUUCGGGCU